UGACACUAAACUGAACUGCCACUUAUGC
rnacentral:sRNA from 1 species